rnacentral:rRNA from 1 species
GUUACAGCCGCCGCGGUAACACCAGCGCCUCGAGUGGGGAUCGCGAUUAUUGGGUCUAAAGCGUCCGUAGCAGGCUUUGUAAAUGCUUUGUGAAAUCGGCAGGCUUAACCUGUCGGCGCGCAGAGUACACUACAGAGCUCGAGACCGGGAGAGGUUAGCAGUAUUCCUAGGGUACCGGUAAAAUGGGUUAAUCCUAGGAGGACUACCAAUGGCGAAGGCAGCUAACCAGAACGGUUCUGACUGUGAGGGACGAAAGCUAGGGGAGCAAAACGGAUUAGAAACCCGGGUAGUCC